ACGGGGGGAGGAAAGUAGGGGAUCGCAAGAUGAAAGCGGGGGACCGCAAGGCCUCGCGCGAGAGGAGCGGCCGAUGCCGGAUUAGCUAGUUGGUGGGGUAAAAGCCUACCAAGGCGACAAUCCGUAGCUGGUCUGAGAGGACGACCAGCCACACUGGGACUGAGACACGGCCCAGACUCCUACGGGAGGCAGCAGUGGGGAAUUUUGGACAAUGGGCGAAAGCCUGAUCCAGCCAUGCCGCGUGAGUGAAGAAGGCCUUCGGGUUGUAAAGCUCUUUCGCAAGGAAAGAAAACUUACCUACUAAUACUAGGUGAGGAUGACGGUACCUUGAUAAGAAGCACCGGCUAACUACGUGCCAGCAGCCGCGGUAAUACGUAGGGUGCGAGCGUUAAUCGGAAUUACUGGGCGUAAAGCGUGCGCAGGCGGUUUCGUAAGUCAGACGUGAAAUCCCCGGGCUCAACCUGGGAACUGCGUUUGAAACUACAAAGCUAG
rnacentral:rRNA from 1 species